rnacentral:lncRNA from 1 species
GUUUGUCGGUCACUAUUUGCUUUUUAGUUGAGUUUUCACUUUUGAGGAUGACUUGGUUUGCAUAAAUUGCAUAUUUUUCACCUUUUAUUUGAUUUGAAGGCUUUCAGCCAACAUAUCUAUGACAUGGUAGUUUUAACUACUCUUGUGGUUCUUACUUAAUUAGGUGUGUUUCUCAAGUUAGGUUCGAACAUCGACACUGUAAAAAGUGAUCAUAAGAAGGGCUAUAAUGCUCUGCUAGCUGAUCGAGUUCCCAACAGAUUAGUCAUUCGGCUUAAGAAAAAAACCAUCGAGAUACCACAACUUGUUCAAAAGAAAAAAUGGCAAUAUAAUUUUAGUUUUUGAUGAUACUGAUCAAUUAUACGUUUUA